rnacentral:rRNA from 1 species
AUUGAACGCUGGCGGCAUGCCUUACACAUGCAAGUCGAACGGCAGCACGGGGGCAACCCUGGGGGCGAGAGGCGAACGGGUGAGUAAUGCAUCGGAACGUGCCCAGUAGUGGGGGAGAGCUCGGCGAAAGCCGGCUUAAUACGGCAUACGACCUACGGGUGAAAGCGGGGGACAGGAAGGCCUUGCGGUGUUGGAGCGGCCGAGGUCAGAGUAGGUUGUUGGUGGGGUAAAGGCCUACCAAGCCGACGAUCUGUAGCUGGUCUGAGAGGACGACCAGCCAAACUGGAACUGAGCCACGGCCCAGACCCCUACGGGAGGCAGCAGUGGGGAAUUUUGGACAAUGGGGGCAACCCUGAUCCAGCCAUGCCGCGUGCGGGAAGAAGGCCUUCGGGUUGUAAACCGCUUUUGUCAGGGAAGAAAUCUUCCAGGCUAAUAUCUUGGGAGGAUGGCGGUACCUAAAGAAUAAGCACCGGCUAACUACGUGCCAGCAGCCGCCGUAAAAC